GAUGAACGCUGGCGGCGUGCCUAAUACAUGCAAGUCGAACGCAUAGCGAAAGGUGCUUGCACCUUUCAAGUGAGUGGCGAACGGGUGAGUAACGCGUGGACAACCUGCCUCAAGGCUGGGGAUAACAUUUGGAAACAGAUGCUAAUACCGAAUAAAACUUAGUGUCGCAUGACACAAAGUUAAAAGGCGCUUCGGCGUCACCUAGAGAUGGAUCCGCGGUGCAUUAGUUAGUUGGUGGGGUAAAGGCCUACCAAGACAAUGAUGCAUAGCCGAGUUGAGAGACUGAUCGGCCACAGUGGGACUGAGACACGGCCCAAACUCCUACGGGAGGCUGCAGUAGGGAAUCUUCCACAAUGGGCGAAAGCCUGAUGGAGCAACGCCGCGUGUGUGAUGAAGGCUUUCGGGUCGUAAAGCACUGUUGUAUGGGAAGAACAGCUAGAAUAGGAAAUGAUUUUAGUUUGACGGUACCAGACCAGAAAGGGACGGCUAAAUACGCG
rnacentral:rRNA from 1 species